rnacentral:tRNA from 1 species
GCGCCCGUAGCUCAACUGGAUAGAGCGUCGGUCUUCGGAACCGGAGGUUAGUGGUUCGAGCCCACUCGGGCGUACCA